CCUACGGGGUGCAGCAGUGAGGAAUAUUGGUCAAUGGGCGAGAGCCUGAACCAGCCAAGUAGCGUGAAGGAUGACUGCCCUACGGGUUGUAAACUUCUUUUGUACGAGGGUAAACGCAGAUACGCGUAUCUGUCUGAAAGUAUCGUACGAAUAAGGAUCGGCUAACUCCGUGCCAGCAGCCGCGGUAAUACGGAGGGUGCAAGCGUUGUCCGGAAUCAUUGGGCGUAAAGAGUUCGUAGGUGGCACGUUAAGUCUGGUGUUAAAGGCGGAAGCUCAACUUCCGUAGGGCACUGGAUACUGGCGAGCUUGAAUGCGGUAGAGGUAAAGGGAAUUCCUGGUGUAGCGGUGAAAUGCGUAGAUAUCAGGAGGAACAUCGGUGGCGUAAGCGCUUUACUGGGCCGUAAUUGACACUGAGGAACGAAAGCCGGGGUAGCAAAUGGGAUUAGAUACCCGUGUAGUC
rnacentral:rRNA from 1 species